UACGUAGGGUGCAAGCGUUGUCCGGAAUUAUUGGGCGUAAAGCGCUCGUAGGCGGUCUGUCGCGUCGGCUGUGAAAACUCGGGGCUCAACCCCGAGCUUGCAGUCGAUACGGGCAGACUAGAGGUAUGCAGGGGAGAACGGAAUUCCUGGUGUAGCGGUGAAAUGCGCAGAUAUCAGGAGGAACCCCGGUGGCGAAGGCGGGUCUGUGGGCCGAUACUGACGCUGAGGAGCGAAAGCGUGGGGAGCGAACAGG
rnacentral:rRNA from 1 species